UACAGAGGGUGCAAGCGUUGUUCGGAAUUACUGGGCGUAAAGCGCGUGUAGGCGGCUUUUCAAGUCUCGUGUGAAAGCCCUGGGCUCAACCCAGGAAGUGCGCGAGAAACUGGGAAGCUGGAGUAGCGGAGAGGAUGGCGGAAUACCCGGUGUAGAGGUGAAAUUCGUAGAUAUCGGGUGGAACACCUGUGGCGAAGGCGGCCAUCUGGACGUUCACUGACGCUGAAGCACGAAAGCGUGGGGAGCAAACAGG
rnacentral:rRNA from 1 species